CAGCCGCCGCGGGAAAACAGAGGGUGCGAGCGUUAAUCGGAUUUACUGGGCGUAAAGCGUGCGUAGGCGGCUUCUUAAGUCGGAUGUGAAAUCCCUGAGCUUAACUUAGGAAUUGCAUUCGAUACUGGGAAGCUAGAGUAUGGGAGAGGAUGGUAGAAUUCCAGGUGUAGCGGUGAAAUGCGUAGAGAUCUGGAGGAAUACCGAUGGCGAAGGCAGCCAUCUGGCCUAAUACUGACGCUGAGGUACGAAAGCAUGGGGAGCAAACAGGAUUAGAUACCCCAGUAGUCCCUGUCUCUUAUAA
rnacentral:rRNA from 1 species